AGAGCUGGGAGCGAAAGUGGCCAAGCACGACGCGUUGCCGAUUCUGCACUACUGUCGCGAGCCCAGCAGAUACGGGGAGCUACUGUCUCAGAAGGAGGCAGCUUGAGGCUCAUUUAAAGGAGCACAGAGACAUGCUCUCCAAACAGAAAUGGAUAUAGGGACAAUCACUCAAGGCCAGGAGCAGCUUCAGGGAGUGUGAUUCUUGGCAGCAGAGAAGAGAAAGAUCUGUGGACCUGGAAGAGAGCUAGCCCUGGCAAGCUCCAGCUGAGUUGCAGAGAAGACUUCCCUGGCAGAGGACUUCCCUGGGAGAGAACUUCCAGCCCACCCAGUCCCAGAGUUGCAUUCAUUCAUCCUUUCUACACUUUCACAGCUGAACAGCACCUGGGCAUUGGCCCAAGAGUUUGGGAGUGGGAAGGAUAAAGAGGUGAAUUCCAGACCAGUUGAUGCAAGAGAGCAACAGACUUGAACUGAAUGUAUAAUUAACUCCACAGUUGUCACAAUGUGCCUCACGGCACCCAGGAACCCACUGGGGCAUUGAAGACUAUUUUAAAAUUUCAACUUACUUACUAACUGGAAUUGUUAGGUAUUUCUUUUGCCUUAGAGAUACUGAAAAAAUCACUGAUUCACUAAGGGUAACUCCAGGUUAAUCUAUAACCUCCUCCAAGACAAAGAAGUAUGGUUGUUCUAUUCCACAUAUAUUCUUCUUUGUGACUUCAUUUCCCCCUUCAAAACUGUCUUGCUAUCAUUGGUGGAUGGAGAUUAAAAAAAAAAGAUGCAAAAGGAGAUAGGAUUUGAAAGAAUUUUGCUCCAAACCAUCAUGAAAUCCACAGUAAUGUCUUUAAAAAAUUUAGAUACUAGGGGGCAGCUAGGUGGUGAAGUGGAUAGCACACCAGCC